UGAUUUGAAGAGCUUGCUCAGAUAUGACGAUGGACAUUGCAAAGAGUGGCGAACGGGUGAGUAACACGUGGGAAACCUACCUCUUAGCAGGGGAUAACAUUUGGAAACAGAUGCUAAUACCGUAUAACAAUAGCAACCGCAUGGUUGCUACUUAAAAGAUGGUUCUGCUAUCACUAAGAGAUGGUCCCGCGGUGCAUUAGUUAGUUGGUGAGGUAAUGGCUCACCAAGACGAUGAUGCAUAGCCGAGUUGAGAGACUGAUCGGCCACAAUGGGACUGAGACACGGCCCAUACUCCUACGGGAGGCAGCAGUAGGGAAUCUUCCACAAUGGGCGAAAGCCUGAUGGAGCAACGCCGCGUGUGUGAUGAAGGGUUUCGGCUCGUAAAACACUGUUGUAAGAGAAGAAUGACAUUGAGAGUAACUGUUCAAUGUGUGACGGUAUCUUACCAGAAAGGAACGGCUAAAUACGUGCCAGCAGCCGCGGUAAUACGUAUGUUCCAAGCGUUAUCCGGAUUUAUUGGGCGUAAAGCGAGCGCACACGGUUAUUUAACUCUGAAGUGAAAGCCCUCAGCUCAACUGAGGAAUUGCUUUGGAAACUGGAUGACUUGAGUGCAGUAGAAGAAAGUGGAACUCCGUGUGUCGCGGUGAAAUGCGUAGAUUUAUGGAACAACACCAGUGGCGAACGCGGCUUUCUGGACUGUAACUGACGUUUGAGGCUCAAAAGUGUGUGUAGCAAACAAGAUAAUAUACCCUGGUAGUCCACGCCCGUAAACUAUGAGUUCUAGGUGUUUGGGGGGUUCC
rnacentral:rRNA from 1 species